CAUAUACUCCCUCCGUCCCAAAAUUCUUGUCUUAGAUUUGUCUACAUACGGAUGUAUCUAUUCACAUUUUAGUGUUAGAUACAUCCGUAUCUAGAUAAAUAUAAGACAAGAAUUUUGGGACAGAGGAAGUAUAAU
rnacentral:pre_miRNA from 1 species